rnacentral:rRNA from 1 species
GGUUAAGCGACUAAGCGUACACGGUGGAUGCCCUGGCAGUCAGAGGCGAUGAAGGACGUGCUAAUCUGCGAUAAGCGUCGGUAAGGUGAUAUGAACCGUUAUAACCGGCGAUUUCCGAAUGGGGAAACCCAGUGUGUUUCGACACACUAUCAUUAACUGAAUCCAUAGGUUAAUGAGGCGAACCGGGGGAACUGAAACAUCUAAGUACCCCGAGGAAAAGAAAUCAACCGAGAUUCCCCCAGUAGCGGCGAGCGAACGGGGAGCAGCCCAGAGCCUGAAUCAGUGUGUGUGUUAGUGGAAGCGUCUGGAAAGGCGCGCGAUACAGGGUGACAGCCCCGUACACAAAAAUGCACAUACUGUGAGCUCGAUGAGUAGGGCGGGACACGUGGUAUCCUGUCUGAAUAUGGGGGGACCAUCCUCCAAGGCUAAAUACUCCUGACUGACCGAUAGUGAACCAGUACCGUGAGGGAAAGGCGAAAAGAACCCCGGCGAGGGGAGUGAAAAAGAACCUGAAACCGUGUACGUACAAGCAGUGGGAGCACAGAGCAAUCUGUGUGACUGCGUACCUUUUGUAUAAUGGGUCAGCGACUUAUAUUCUGUAGCAAGGUUAACCGAAUAGGGGAGCCGAAGGGAAACCGAGUCUUAACUGGGCGUUAAGUUGCAGGGUAUAGACCCGAAACCCGGUGAUCUAGCCAUGGGCAGGUUGAAGGUUGGGUAACACUAACUGGAGGACCGAACCGACUAAUGUUGAAAAAUUAGCGGAUGACUUGUGGCUGGGGGUGAAAGGCCAAUCAAACCGGGAGAUAGCUGGUUCUCCCCGAAAGCUAUUUAGGUAGCGCCUCGUGAAUUCAUCUCCGGGGGUAGAGCACUGUUUCGGCAAGGGGGUCAUCCCGACUUACCAACCCGAUGCAAACUGCGAAUACCGGAGAAUGUUAUCACGGGAGACACACGGCGGGUGCUAACGUCCGUCGUGAAGAGGGAAACAACCCAGACCGCCAGCUAAGGUCCCAAAGUCAUGGUUAAGUGGGAAACGAUGUGGGAAGGCCCAGACAGCCAGGAUGUUGGCUUAGAAGCAGCCAUCAUUUAAAGAAAGCGUAAUAGCUCACUGGUCGAGUCGGCCUGCGCGGAAGAUGUAACGGGGCUAAACCAUGCACCGAAGCUGCGGCAGCGACGCUUAUGCGUUGUUGGGUAGGGGAGCGUUCUGUAAGCCUGCGAAGGUGUGCUGUGAGGCAUGCUGGAGGUAUCAGAAGUGCGAAUGCUGACAUAAGUAACGAUAAAGCGGGUGAAAAGCCCGCUCGCCGGAAGACCAAGGGUUCCUGUCCAACGUUAAUCGGGGCAGGGUGAGUCGACCCCUAAGGCGAGGCCGAAAGGCGUAGUCGAUGGGAAACAGGUUAAUAUUCCUGUACUUGGUGUUACUGCGAAGGGGGGACGGAGAAGGCUAUGUUGGCCGGGCGACGGUUGUCCCGGUUUAAGCGUGUAGGCUGGUUUUCCAGGCAAAUCCGGAAAAUCAAGGCUGAGGCGUGAUGACGAGGCACUACGGUGCUGAAGCAACAAAUGCCCUGCUUCCAGGAAAAGCCUCUAAGCAUCAGGUAACAUCAAAUCGUACCCCAAACCGACACAGGUGGUCAGGUAGAGAAUACCAAGGCGCUUGAGAGAACUCGGGUGAAGGAACUAGGCAAAAUGGUGCCGUAACUUCGGGAGAAGGCACGCUGAUAUGUAGGUGAAGUCCCUCGCGGAUGGAGCUGAAAUCAGUCGAAGAUACCAGCUGGCUGCAACUGUUUAUUAAAAACACAGCACUGUGCAAACACGAAAGUGGACGUAUACGGUGUGACGCCUGCCCGGUGCCGGAAGGUUAAUUGAUGGGGUUAGCGCAAGCGAAGCUCUUGAUCGAAGCCCCGGUAAACGGCGGCCGUAACUAUAACGGUCCUAAGGUAGCGAAAUUCCUUGUCGGGUAAGUUCCGACCUGCACGAAUGGCGUAAUGAUGGCCAGGCUGUCUCCACCCGAGACUCAGUGAAAUUGAACUCGCUGUGAAGAUGCAGUGUACCCGCGGCAAGACGGAAAGACCCCGUGAACCUUUACUAUAGCUUGACACUGAACAUUGAGCCUUGAUGUGUAGGAUAGGUGGGAGGCUUUGAAGUGUGGACGCCAGUCUGCAUGGAGCCGACCUUGAAAUACCACCCUUUAAUGUUUGAUGUUCUAACGUUGACCCGUAAUCCGGGUUGCGGACAGUGUCUGGUGGGUAGUUUGACUGGGGCGGUCUCCUCCUAAAGAGUAACGGAGGAGCACGAAGGUUGGCUAAUCCUGGUCGGACAUCAGGAGGUUAGUGCAAUGGCAUAAGCCAGCUUGACUGCGAGCGUGACGGCGCGAGCAGGUGCGAAAGCAGGUCAUAGUGAUCCGGUGGUUCUGAAUGGAAGGGCCAUCGCUCAACGGAUAAAAGGUACUCCGGGGAUAACAGGCUGAUACCGCCCAAGAGUUCAUAUCGACGGCGGUGUUUGGCACCUCGAUGUCGGCUCAUCACAUCCUGGGGCUGAAGUAGGUCCCAAGGGUAUGGCUGUUCGCCAUUUAAAGUGGUACGCGAGCUGGGUUUAGAACGUCGUGAGACAGUUCGGUCCCUAUCUGCCGUGGGCGCUGGAGAACUGAGGGGGGCUGCUCCUAGUACGAGAGGACCGGAGUGGACGCAUCACUGGUGUUCGGGUUGUCAUGCCAAUGGCACUGCCCGGUAGCUAAAUGCGGAAGAGAUAAGUGCUGAAAGCAUCUAAGCACGAAACUUGCCCCGAGAUGAGUUCUCCCUGAGACUUUAAGUCUCCUGAAGGAACGUUGAAGACGACGACGUUGAUAGGCCGGGUGUGUAAGCGCAGCGAUGCGUUGAGCUAACCGGUACUAAUGAACCGUGAGGCUUAACCUU